CAUAAUACCAAAAAUAAACUGAAACAUCCAUGUCUAACAAUACUAAAAGCAGGAUAUCAAACCCUUUUGGCGUGUCCACGUCGUCUUUAAAAAUCAGCCAACGAGGAGGUUCUCUUUCGACAUGUCACCAUCGCUUCUAACUUAAAGAGUGAAACUGGGCCUUUCGUGUAGGUUUUAAAAAUUUUCUAUGGCCCAGUUUAAACAUAAUACGCGUAAACCUCUGUAGAGUCGGGAGCGUCGUCGAACUCAGUCUCUUCCACUUCCUCUCCGCCGAUCUUUUCCUCUGUAAUCACCGUUACCUCUACCCUUACUUGAACAAUCGAUGAUGUUCUUUACUCACUCCUUUAUUUUUUCGUUCGACCUCCCGAUGAUUAUUCAUCCUCCAAAUCCUGACGUUUCAUGAGUCUAUCAACCACUUGCUAUAAAUUUAGGACCAUACACACGAACCCUCACUACCCAAUCCAAGUACUCUGCAGUUCGUACUUUUCUACUCCCCUCUUCCGUCAUGGCUAACCUCGAGUUUGUCAUCCUACUUGACAUUCGACAGUCUGCACCUUUGCUGUUAUCUCAAGCGGUUGUCCGGCGAUGCACCUUUGUCGUUAUCUCAAGAGGUUGUCCGGCGACUCAUCAUUCACUGGGAUUAUUAGGUUUUUAAUCCCUCUUGCCUGUUCAGUCGCUAUUAAUCUCGAUACAACUUCUCGCGGAUAAACAUGUUAAUUAGUUAACUCCCUUUUGGAUUUUAAAAAAUGAUAUCAUUCUCCGCUAUUGGAUUUUUAUUUUUCCUUUCGUUAUGUUUGAUUCCUCUUAUGAUUUUUUGGUAAUCAAUUUUUUUUCCCAAGCUGAAUCAUUCUAAAUAUGUAGUAAACAUAUCAUCUUAAUUUGUCGACUUUUGUUUUGGUGUUCACUCUAAUGAAUGUUGUUGUUGAUUCUUCCCAUACCGGUUAGUUUCUUUGUUAAUACUGUGCCACGCCAUCUCUUUCAUCACAUGAUCUUAGUUGGUUCUUUCUCUACAAUCAGCUGAUUGCUUCAUGACUUUCCUACUUUGGCUUAUUGCAACUCAUAUUCAGGAGCUGGAGGAGGAACUUAAGCUUCUCAAGAAUCACUCUCAACCAAAUAUAGUUAGAGAGAUAGACAAGGUUUUCCAAUAAGCAGCUAUUCCUUUGUCUCAGUGAGUCUCCUCUUUUCAUGGACGAUGGGAGAAGCUUUUGGAUGUAGAAGAGAAGCGGGAAGAAAUAUUGGAUGUUAUUAGCGAGGAAGCUGGAGCAUUGGCCACAGCUGAGGGAACCAAGAGCUUGAACUCAAGUGUCAUCUAAACUAAUGCUCCUUAGGAAUUCUUUUUAAGCGGAGUCAGUUGUGGUUGUGGCAUGUCAAUGACAAGAGUGAUGGUAAGAAGUAAAAUAAAGCUAGAAGACUAAGGGAGAAGAUGAAAA